rnacentral:sRNA from 1 species
AGGCCUUGUUGCUGGUAAGGCGAACGCUGGAUCGCCCUCUUCCAGAAGCGACGUUUUUAAAAUCAACUCCCAUAUAUAUAGCGUUGUUUGCGGUGAACGCUAGCCCCUGGGAUUUUGCGGCAGUUCGAUCAAGAUAGUUGACAUAGCCGUGUGUGGGAUCGUCGCUCUAGUAUAAUAUCAUCGUAAGAAACUAUUCCGAGUCGAUUGCACUCGCUCUGGUGAUUAUUGCCAGCAGGACCCACCGAAAAGAAAUCAAAUUCGCGGAAGAAGUUCGCCGCCGUAUAGUCGUCCACAAGAAUAUAUGCCGCCUGAGAGAAGACAACAAAACUAUUCAAACCAAUAAGAAAAGGUACGGAUAAAUGCAUCUUACGAAUAGGGUAUAAAUAAAGUCUAUCGAAAACUCGAAAAAGUAACAUAUAAUGGAGAAUACUCGAAAUGCUGAUUUCAAGGAAUAUUACACCGGGUAUGCUGCUUUUAUAUCUCCCAAACGGCAAGGUGAUAUAAUAAGCACAAAAGGGCCUGAUCGAAUAAUCAUAUCGCCUUCCCUUGCAAGGUCCAUUUGUAUCCGCGGCGCAUGUUGAAGUCAUCUCAGUAUCCUAGCCCUGUCCUUCAGGGGUAGGCUGGAGAUAAACGCUAAAGGGGAGGAGGAAAACAACCUACUAAUUUAGGAGGUCGGGUUUGUGCCACUGCCGAAAGACCUACACUACAGCAUCGCCUCUGACACCCCUCUUGACGCGCCUAAUAAUAGGGCUACCUAGGGUAAGCUCACUAUGGUUCGUCAAUCUCCAUACGCCCUCUUCUACGCAGUAAGUAUGGUCGACUGCCACAGCCGUCUGAUGCCGGGGUUGUUGGCGAACACGUUAAAACCACCGAGGUCGUGCCAGCCUCAUGGCUGAGGGGCCGUUUCGGGUCAUUUUUUUUACCAGUCGACUUGGCAGCAGACUAUCUAUACCAUGAAUUAGGCUCAGUCUUCAUCCCGGCGUGACAAUACCAUCCCGGACCACUGUAUGUUUCCAGUAAGAGAGUCCGGGCAGCUUAGCUAUCUGGGUCGUUUGAUUGUGUUUAUUUUGCAUGCUCUAAUGUUUUGCGAGGCAAAAGUGAUAUGCGCUGGCCAUGUCCGUGUCUGUGGGUGUGCCCACGCUGUGCAUGAGAUGAGAUGACCAUGAACAUGUCAGCAGGGUAUCGUCACAAUCACUAAAUCAACUCCGGAUUUCCUUCAUGCUGGUGUGGGCUCGUGCUAUUUUUAUGAUGACUAAAUGUCUACGGAAAUUAGGUGUGGACCGUGAGCUUUAGUCUUCUUAUCACGGUUUUUAUCUUAGCAAUGAAGAUGCAGAGAUAUGAAUUAGCCGACUCUAGAGAAUCGCCAGGUAUGGGGAUACAAAUACAAUCAACAAAUUUUAAAUCGAACUGCAUUUAAGCUCUCCCAACGCGGAAGCGUCUAAUUUUCUUUUCCACAUUGGCGAACGGAGAAACUAUGCUUGAGCCAUGGGUACAUUUGGAACCCCUGCAGUAUGUGGCUUAUUAGCUGUCCUGUCCCUGGCUACAGCUACAGGGAUAAACGGAUAAAUAUAGUCCUCUGGAACAUUUAGUUAUAUUAAGUUACCGGCCACUUCUCCACCAAGCGAAGGAGAGUGAGAUAAGACUGAAGAGGC